rnacentral:rRNA from 1 species
UACGUAGGGUGCGAGCGUUGUCCGGAAUUAUUGGGCGUAAAGAGCUCGUAGGCGGCUUGUCGCGUCGGAUGUGAAAGCCCGGGGCUUAACUCCGGGUCUGCAUUCGAUACGGGCAGGCUAGAGUUCGGUAGGGGAGAUCGGAAUUCCUGGUGUAGCGGUGAAAUGCGCAGAUAUCAGGAGGAACACCGGUGGCGAAGGCGGUCCCCUGGGCCGGAACUGACGCUGAGGCGCGAAAGCGUGGGUAGCAAACGGG